rnacentral:rRNA from 1 species
UACAGAGGGUGCAAGCGUUGUUCGGAAUUAUUGGGCGUAAAGGGCGCGUAGGCGGUUCGGCAAGUCUCUAGUGAAAUCUCUGGGCUCAACUCAGAGUCUGCUGGGGAAACUGCCGGGCUUGAGUGUGGGAGAGGAGAGUGGAAUUUCCGGUGUAGCGGUGAAAUGCGUAGAUAUCGGAAGGAACACCUGUGGCGAAAGCGGCUCUCUGGACCACAACUGACGCUGAGGCGCGAAAGCUAGGGGAGCAAACAGG